rnacentral:lncRNA from 1 species
UAUCAUUCAUUAUCUAUAUAGUUUUCCCAUUUUUUCAAUGUUGGCCAGUUAAAGGGUUCAAACAGUAGUGACAUAAUCAUGUUAUAAUCAUUACUUUUUAUUGCCAAUAAUAAUUCUUAUUAAUAAUAAAAUUAUUAUAUAGUUAUAGUAACUAUUGUCAACAUGAUGUAAAUUAUAUACAGUAAAAUGUUGUUUAUUCGAACUACUAUCACCAAAAAAAUUGGUGGCAAUGGCUAUUUUAGUGCAUUGGUUAUUUUGCUGAAGUAUUAUUCUUGCCAUUUAAUGCAUUUGUUUAUGAAUUUAUUUAUUCAAAAAUAUAUGCAAUAUAGUAUAGAAAUAAUCUUACAAGGAGACUACAUGACUUGUGACUCGUCGAUUUUGACGAAAAGGUUUGUGCGUGCAGAGCUCCACUGGUAAGGUUCAUUGGGCCAGCUAUUUGACGCAAUACUCAAGCAAACUCCAGAAAAAAAUUCUUAAAUUCUGACCAAAACUUAUAUACGUGCC